GCUGGGAUGGCGGAGCAGUCAAACGCACCUGGCUGUAGACCAGGCGCCCGAAAGGGCUACAGGAGUGCAAAUCUCUUUCCCAGCA
rfam:Microgenomates (Levybacteria) bacterium GW2011_GWA2_40_8 TT21_C0025, whole genome shotgun sequence.